UCUGUCUCAAACUGUGAGGCAUUUCUCCAUAUGAGCAGCCUGUUCAGUGGAUGUGCUGAUGUUCGGUUGUGCUCUUGGAGUUGGGAAGCAAGCCCUGACGGGACCCCCGAUGAGCACGCUGGAGGGGGAACUGCAGGGGCAGCAUGUACUGUUGGGAUCUUCUCACUGCUGCCAGAGCCAAUGCUAGAUGGCUGCUACCAGGAUGUCUGGGGACCCUGAGGUGCAGAUUGGACUUGCCAGGAACUGUAAGUGCUGUUUCGGCCAAGCCUGCUCAGAGUGAUAUGCUGCCAGGCAAGCAUGUGAGCUAUUCAUGGCUACAAUAACAAGAUGGAUAAGCCCACUAUUAUUGUCUGUACAGAAAGUGAAGGGCAAGGAAUGUCUACUUGCAGAAGAAAAUGCAGGAAUGUUGUUGGAUUUUUUUCCCCCAAAUU